CAGAGCAAACAUAGACGGUGCCGGGUCUCCACCAUGAGGAGUUGUAGCAGCCUGGACUACUAUGUACAGAGCAGUGCACGAGGGAGAAAUGCUCUCUAUCUUGUUUAUAUCACAGUUAUUUGGAUUGCCUGUUACAGCAGUUAGAUCCAUAGCCUAACCGUGUGAAGGUGAACCUGAUGGUGAAGUCAAAAUGGUAAACCAGUUCUUAACAGGUUCCCCUCUGUUGCUCUUGAAACUUCUCCCCACGUCAAUUCCAAGCCCUAGACUGGUGCUGUCUGCCUGGGAGAUGCUGGUAAAUGUUAUGGUCUAGUUCCUGGCUCCCGUAUUUUCCAGGAACCCUGAUCUCCAAAGAUGACGGACAUUCUAGUUGGUUCCUGCCUGAGGCUCAGCUCAACCUGUGUGGUGGCUCUGUCUGGGCCCUGUUCCUUUGCUCCAACAGGAAUCAGAUUGUGAUCAGUCUUGGAAUGCAUUCCAGAGCUGGCUGCAGCCCCAAGCCUUGCCUGGCUGGACAGCCCUGGUGCUACACAUCAGUCCUCACGUCUUCCUUCCCGGCUCCUCACACACCGCCAGUGGGUCCCUGAACCCUGAGUUUCCAUUAGUGGGCUGUGUGACACCAGGCAGGUACCAGGCAGGAGCCUUUGCUACUUCCCAGGGUACAGACUGACCCUCCACCCUUGGCUUGAUUCACCUUUGUGUCUUGCCAGCCCAGGCUUCAAGCCCAAUCUAGCAGCCCAGGUCAAAUUUGGCUGGAAAUUUUUGCUUCAAGAACUUAAGUCUUCCACCCUCUGUAACAAGGCUUAUCCGUUCCUUAAGAAAGGGGUGGCGGUUCUCUUUGAGGGCGGUUUUUGUUUUGUUUUAAAAUUUCAUGCAUAAAAAAUAAAUGUAAAAUGCAUGUGAUGAAGCAAAUUUACAAAAUGAACAUCUUUGAACACAUUAGCUUAUCUAAGAAUUAGAACGUGAUCACAUGGUUGCAUCUGCCUCCAUGCCUCCUUCCCUGCUCUGUUGGCCGGCCUCCCACUAUCCUGAAUUUCGUGUUUAUUAUUUCCUUGUUUUUAAGAGCAGCUUCAUAUACAUAUGUGUAUAUCCACAGAGUAUUUACUUUUGCUUAUUUUUGAACCUUAUGAAAAUAGAGUCAUAUUGUAUGCAGAUAUUUUGCUGUCCUAGAUAAUAUUGCUUUUCAUCAAAUAAAAUGGUGUUCGGAGUGAUCACAUCAACUUAUAAUCCUAUAAGCAGUAUGUACGAGUUCACAUUGGUUUACAUUCUAACAACCACUUAGCAGUAGCAGACUUAAAUUUUCUGCCAAACCCGUUCAUGUAAAAUGGUAUUUUAUUAUGGACUUAGCUAAUUUCCUUGAUUAUUAAUAAAAUUGAGCUUCUUUCCAUAUUCUCAUUUACCAGGUGGGUUUUCUUGUCUUUGAAACACCUAUGCUUGGGGCACCUGGGUGGCUCAGUUGGUUAAGUUUCAACUUUGGC